GAUGCCUGGGAUGGCCGAGCCUUCCAUCGGUUGCAGACCGAUGAUCUGCACCGCCGGGUUCUGCUCCUUGAGGUACUGC
rnacentral:tRNA from 1 species